UUUAUCGGAGAGUUUGAUCCUGGCUCAGGACGAACGCUGGCGGCGUGCCUAAUACAUGCAAGUCGAGCGGACAGAUGGGAGCUUGCUCCCUGAUGUUAGCGGCGGACGGGUGAGUAACACGUGGGUAACCUGCCUGUAAGACUGGGAUAACUCCGGGAAACCGGGGCUAAUACCGGAUGGUUGUCUGAACCGCAUGGUUCAGACAUAAAAGGUGGCUUCGGCUACCACUUACAGAUGGACCCGCGGCGCAUUAGCUAGUUGGUGAGGUAACGGCUCACCAAGGCGACGAUGCGUAGCCGACCUGAGAGGGUGAUCGGCCACACUGGGACUGAGACACGGCCCAGACUCCUACGGGAGGCAGCAGUAGGGAAUCUUCCGCAAUGGACGAAAGUCUGACGGAGCAACGCCGCGUGAGUGAUGAAGGUUUUCG
rnacentral:rRNA from 1 species